UACGUAGGUGGCAAGCGUUGUCCGGAUUUAUUGGGUUUAAAGGGUGCGUAGGCGGUCUAUUAAGUCAGUGGUGAAAUAUGGCAGCUCAACUGUCAAGGUGCCAUUGAUACUGCGGAGCUUGAGUACAGAUGAGGUAGGCGGAAUUGACGGUGUAGCGGUGAAAUGCUUAGAUAUCGUCAAGAACACCUAUAGCGAAGGCAGCUUACUAGGCUGUAACUGACGCUGAGGCACGAAAGUGUGGGGAUCAAACAGG
rnacentral:rRNA from 1 species